rnacentral:lncRNA from 1 species
UUUUCCAUAUACUCUGGUUGAUGUUCUAUGGAAUCUGUUUCUGCUGCUAAGAGCAGCGAGCAAGAAAAUCCAAGCAGCUGGAAACUGACGUGGCUUCUGUUCCUGGCAAACAUUAUGCGGCUUUUCUGCAAGUACGCUACAGAACCAAGCUGCAAUGCCUGAAUAUUUGGAAAAAGGUUGCCCCGGUAAUUUAAGAGCUGUAAUGUUGAAAUAUUUGAAUAUCU